CCACGCGUGUAUAUGGCGGGAUGGACAAGUAUGAGCAUUGGGAAAACGUUGGCUGAAAAUGAAAAGAGGGCGCUCUAUAUUGGAUAUAAAACACCACGCGUGUACAAUGUAUAUGGCGGGAUGGACAAGUAUGAGCAUUGGGAAAACGUUGGCUGAAAAUGUAAAGAUGCUGGACUUUACUACCUGCUGUUUGCUCAAGUGAUCUGACCUCCAAGCUCACCAUCAUAGUACACCACGCACCUCUCCAUGUCACCAUGCUGUCUGCUUGGAUGUCAAGGAAUUCCUGCUACAUCAUCACAAGUUUUUAGGUCAACCUGACCUUGAAGGAUGGCAUCAUACCCCUGGCAUUGGGCUGGCAUUACUUGGUGCCAGCAUUCACCGUUUUCCCUGCAGUAUCCAUUGCCAGUAUUCCCUGUUGAGGAAGAUUACUGACAGCAGAUCAUCAAACUAACCCAGAAAGCUGCAUGGAAGUCAACAUUGGAAAAUCCACUGGAUAUUGCUGCACUAAUUCUAAUGGAACUCAUAAGAGACAGCCUAUGAAAUAACAUGGAACAGCAUUACUCCAGAAGGACUGAUGAACCCAUCUACUAAGUUAGCUGUUGAUUUCAUGUGGUUGGACGGGUCAGCCAUAUCUGAAGCCCUGUGCUCUGUCCAAGAUGUGAGGGCUUGUCAUAGUGUUCCCUUUAACAUUGGAUUCUGUGUGAUACACAUGUGCUUCAUGCGCCCAUUUGACUUCUCAUUGUGACUGUCAUCACUCCUGUACAAGGCUGCAUGAGGAAAGCCUGUGGGUUGGAUGGCUGGAGACUACUGACAUGAAAUGGCCUUUGACAUUGAGCAAUGUACAUGUACACCAAUUCCAAGCAGGAAGGAUCAGUGUACCACUGUUGACUUGAGGCUGACUCAGGAUGCUGUGAUAAGAUGCCAGGAACCAAUUACAUCAGACAUAUACAAUUCUACAUGUACAUUGAUUGCAAACCUCAGAGCAGGUCACUGGAACUGACUUGACACCGUGACUUUUCUGGAUCCACUUGACUUGCUGUCUGCAUACGGCCACAUCUUGGGAUCCUAAGUGUUACAACUCUGUGUUAUUUAAGGACACAUGGACAACCUCAGUGCAUAAGAAAUGCAGUGUGAAGGACACUUCCAAAGUGAAGGACUCUAGAAACGAAUAUGUCUAGAAAAAUGUGCAAUAACAAAGCAUUUAACCAGCCCCCUAGAGAAAGUUUGAUCCCAGAAACUUGAAAUUCGAUAAUCGCUUGUUCAUAAAAGAUUAAAGUGAUUUUGAAAAUCUCAUUUUCUCAAUCUUUUUACGGAACAUUUGGCAAUUUAUAGAAUAGCUGAAAUGCAAAUAACAGGAUUUGGAAAUAUCUAAUAUGCUUUAUGAAAUUGUAUCGGAUUUACACAGAGAAAUCUGAUUAACCUGUGAAGAAAAACAUAGUUGACUACUUACUGCUGCAAGGAAGUAAGCUAAAAAGGAAAAUAUCCCCAAUUCUUAUUUUGAAAUUCUGAAAACUACUCAGCAUUCUUGUAGGGGCUGGUUACCUGAAGGGUAUUCAUUGCUUGAGUACAUUUGCCUGGUAGUAUGCCUGUUGGGGGACUGGGUACUAGAUUGGUAAACAACACUUCGUUAUCAAUGGUCAACAGUCACCAUAAUGUACAAAGUGUUUCGAGAGAAAAAAUGCUCUGCAUACUUUGUGUCAAACUAGCCUUUGGUUUUUGAGUUGCGCAUUGCUUAUUCAUGGCAUUUUCAUCAAGUAAAAAAUUCCUGAUAUUUUUUAUGAUACUGACUUGUCAAUUAUGCAACAUUUUUCUGGUCUCUGUUGGGACUAUUUGAUGCACACAUGAAGCAUUUCUAUCAUUCGAAGACAUAUUCCUCAAACACUCAGUGUUUACCAAUCUCAUGCCCAGCAUCUUGAAUAUAAUCAGCACUGGCACACAUCCAAAUCAAGCCGUUUAAUCUUUCAGUUUGUUACUAAGGAUGCUUAGUUUUCAGUAAUAUUGUGACCAGCAUUGGACUUUGAGAAGAUAGUUUAUUCCUUCCAAACACACAUGAACCACUGAAGUGCUAGUACAUUUAUCUUAAAGGAGGUUAAACUUAUUGCUCUUGGGUCUUUUCAGAGCCACCGUACACUUCUCUUUAUUGUCAGUCAGUUGAAAAUGCUGUGUCCACAAAUUUCAGCGAAUUUCUAUUCUGCAGCAAUCACUAUCUCAUGUCACAUCUUAUUUGGGUGUGUAACAACCAAUCUGCUUCAGUUUAAUGCUCUUUUAAAAAAGGGAAAAGACAAAAUCUUAUUUUGAAAGAACUCAAAUUUGCAUAAAAAGUCGAACUUGAUUAGGCCAAAAUAUGGAAGAAGACUAUUACAUAUGAACAGGUUUUUAUCUUUGUCAAUAUUUAAUACUCAAACAGGAGAGCACUCAACUUUAUUUUAAGUUUGUGUUAAUGGCUAUUCUAUCUGACUUUGAUCAAGUUUAUGUUUGCAAAAUGAAUUUUUGUGUGUGCCAGGUGCUGAUUAUACCUUCUGAAGCCACAGUUAACCUUGAAUUAUGUAUAUCCUUGACCAACAGGCAAACUCAAAUCUCUCGAAGCACCCUAGCGCAUACAAGUCCCCCCUGGUGUGGGCUGCGUGUUCCCCGUCCACAGACGCCGACAGGUUCCGGUGAGUUGCCUUGCUGCAUAACUUGUGAUCAGUUUGUUCAAGAUGUGUUACAACUCUCUGAUCAUUAAAUGCUGGGGUUGGCAGCAACAUGGUAAGGAUCCUGUCAACUUUGACAAUCGGUUUAUCUUUUCUGCAAAGCAGAUGCAUGUAUCCAUGACUCUAAACAUUGCAAAUCAAAGGAACUGUUUUUUGCACCUACUCAAAAUUGCUCCAUCGAUAAUUCAGAAAUUCCAGUUGAUGAUGGUUUGGAUUCAGCAAAGUGAAAUGUUUACAAAUGGUCACUUUUGUCCAAUUUUUCUGUGACAUUUUGAAUGUUGGAUGAUUCUAAGGCAGUUUUCUCAGUCUCCUGUUGUGGGUGUCUUCCAUGGUAUAACUCAACAAUCUUCUGCCUUUUGUUGUGCCUACUCAGUCCACAGUCAGUUCCCUCUCUU
rnacentral:lncRNA from 1 species